GCCGGUAUGAUGGAAUUGGCAGACGUAGCGGACUCAAAAUCCGCCGGUAGCAAUACCGUGCCGGUUCGACUCCGGCUACCGGCACCA
rnacentral:tRNA from 2 species